GCCGGGCGCGAUGGCUCACGCCUGUAAUCCCAGAACUUUGGGAGGCUGAGGCGGGUGGAUCACUUGAGGUCAGGAGUUCAAGACCAGCCUGGCCAAGAUAGUGAAACCCCGUCUCUA
rnacentral:SRP_RNA from 1 species